GGUUACAAAAUCUAUCGCUAACAAAAAAAAAACAAAACAAAAAAAAGAAAAGGAAAGAAAUAAGACGGCGAAAAAGUUACAGACAUUCGAGUUCAGGUCGAAUGACCACGAAGCUUGCCGACGAUAAUAUGAAACCUCAGUUUGCGUCACGUUUCAAAGACAAGGGCCCACGAAGGCUGGAAAGCGGAUAAAACAAAAAAAAAGAGGAAAAAGAAGUGGAGGAAUAGACAAGGCAAAAGUGGAGAAAAGGUGACCAAAGUUGAUAUGCUACACCGCGCGUUCAACUAUCUGGCUAUAGCUGACUAUAGAGACAUUCCCGCUAUUACAGUAGUUUUGAUGUCGAUCGUUUGUUUUGUGACCCAGAUGAGGAAUGCGCCAGGUGUCUAUUGCCUCUUGUAUCCUACCCAACUUCUUCAUUCUGUCAUCCUAUAUCUGUCUGGCUGUCGAAAAGUUGGAAGAAUCCAACUAGCCAGCAACAAGUGACAGAGAAAGAGACAAAAGAGCACAACGAAAAUAGAAGACGAGAGAAGUACGGAGAAGAAUUUUUGUUAAAAAAGCCGGAAACAAGCCAAGCUUGACGAAGAAAAAUGCCAACGAGAGAGAACAGAGACAAAGAUAGUGUUGAAGUGUAGCGCAUCGAAUGUCGGACAAAAAGGGGGAAGGCGGUAGCGUGUGACCGGUUGUAUACCCGACAUUUUGUGUCCAGCCCAACUAGCUAACCUCCGUCCCUUCUGAAAGGCUCCUCUAUCAUUCAUUCUUUUCUCGAUCUCGACACGAUACGUCAAGUCAUCAACUUCUUUUCCAAGUAUUCUUAUUAGCUGGUUCGUUAUUUUCUAUUCUAGUCCUCCUUUUUCUUUCUUUUUUUCAACCCUCGUACACCUCGUCCAUCCACACUGACACCGGAUGUGUAAGGGACGGCAAAAUUCAAUCGAGUUUCACCUUGUCAUUUGUACCAGGUCAAACAGUGCAGGUGCAACAUAACAAGCCAACAGAGACAUAAAAAGAAACGAAAAACUGUAAAACAACCAAAAACAACGUUUAAACUACUUUUAACUGGCAUUAUGUUGAAAACGCUGCUUGACUCUUUUGCCCCCUUUAUCCAAUACUGCUAACCACCAUGGUGGCAUGCGGGAAUGAAUGAAAAAGAAAAAAUCCCAAUGAAAAUGGGUACAACAAUUAUUCAAUGUGUGCGUGUGUUUUUUUUUUUUUCAUUUUUUCAUCUGUUUCUUCGAGACUUGCAACCCUAAUUAAAUGAUUGGUAACGCA